UACGGAGGGUGCAAGCGUUAUCCGGAUUCACUGGGUUUAAAGGGUGCGUAGGAGGGCAGGGAAGUCCGUGGUGAAAUCCUAGAGCUUAACUCUAGAACUGCCGUGGAUACUCUCUGUCUUGAAUCCCGUGGAGAUGAGCGGAAUAUGUCAUGUAGCGGUGAAAUGCUUAGAUAUGGACAUAGAACACCAAUUGCGAAGGCAGCUCGUUACACGAAGAUUGACUCUGAGGACGAAAGCGUGGGGAUCAAACAGG
rnacentral:rRNA from 1 species